rnacentral:rRNA from 1 species
UACGUAGGGAGCGAGCGUUAUCCGGAUUUACUGGGUGUAAAGGGCGUGUAGGCGGGACGGCAAGUCAGAUGUGAAAACUAUGGGCUCAACCCAUAGCCUGCAUUUGAAACUGUUGUUCUUGAGUGCUGGAGAGGCAAAUGGAACUCCUAGUGUAGCGGUGAAAUGCGUAGAUAUUAGGAAGAACACCAGUGGCGAAGGCGAUUUGCUGGACAGUAACUGACGCUGAUGCGCGAAAGUGUGGGGAGCAAAC